GGAUCAAUUUGCUGGUCGUGCCUUUGGUACGUACUGGUAUUAUUGGUUUCUCCUUUCUGAAGAACUACGAUGUCAUUAAUUUGGUGUCGUGGGGAAUCAGGACUGUUACCUUGAAAAAAUUAGAGUGUUUAAAGCAGGCUCACGCUUGAAUACAUUAGCAUGGAAUAACGAAAUAGGACGUUUGAUUUUAUUUUGUUGGUUUCUAGGAUCGACGUA
rnacentral:rRNA from 1 species